UGCGCCGGCGUCUUCGGCUUCGGGCCGCGGUGCCCGCUGCAGAGAUCCUAUGCGCCCCAAGUCUCUGCCCCUCUCGGGGGCCACAUGUUCUUCCUCCGCCCCCCAGUCCGCGGAGGCCGCCCCAGCCUGCAGCUCCCCGGAGCCAAGCCUGACUCCACCGCGCACCCCAGACCCACCCGGCAGGGAUCGCCCCAGAAACGGCAGCUGUGGGUCUCAUCAGUGUCCUCGGGAAGAGGGGGCCAGGGAAGCGACUGUCCGGGCCCGGGUUAGGGGGAGCCUCUCCUCGGACGCGGCGCACGCAUCUCUGGAGCUCGAAGCUCAGUUCCUGUUUGCUGACGUCCCUUCUAUGGACAGCCCUGCCCUGCUGAGCCCUCGGCUCCAGCAUUCUGCUAAGGCUUCCGGAUGCUGCUGUGCUCCUGAUCUUCAACCCUUGGGUCCUCCUUUGGAUCCUGGAAAUCCAAUGCACCCCGGCCCGUGCCUGCAAUCUCUGGAAGGUGAUAAUGACUCCUACUGACCGGGCAAGAUUCCCUCAUUGUCCCACACCUCUCUGAUCUUGUGUGGCACACUAUGGAUAUUAUAAUAUUACUCCACUGAGCACAGACAAUAUGCCGGACACCACACCAAGCCUCAAGAUCAGCACAAUACACAGACUCACUCCAUGAGGCAGAAACUACUAAUAUUCUCUUUAAAGAGAUGAAGAUAUAGAAUACAGAAAAAUUGAAUAAAAUACUUAAGGUCUCCAUGCAUUAAAUGUUGAGCUGAAUAUUCAAAUCCAGCUUAUUGAUUAAGGCUAAUUCUGCUUUUGAAUUAUCUUCCCUAUGGAAAUAAACCUCUUUUCCGGAAGGUCUAAGUCUUGACUGAUCUUUAUAUUCCCCGCUGAGCCUGUUGUGUUACCUCUAG
rnacentral:lncRNA from 1 species